GGUGAGUGGCUGUGGAGGCAGGUGAGCGGAAGGUGGGCAGAGGACUGUUGAGGCAAGUUGUGGGGGGGGAACCCACACCUGUUAUGGUCAAGCCAGAGCUGUGAGUGGCCAUACUUGAAUUCAAACCAAGAUGAGUGUUUUCCAAGCAAGGGGCCCUAAUCUCUGAAGGAACUUCAGCUGUACCAAAGGUGGAACAACAACAACAACAACAAAAACCUGCAGCAGGUAGAAGAUACUACUCUGCUGACCAGCUCGGGCAGAAGUUCAAAGUCCUGGGAUUUAUACCAGUCCUUGCCAGUCUCAUGGCUUCAUGUGCUCUUCUGAUCACAAGGGAUUAUUUUGCA